rnacentral:rRNA from 1 species
AACGAACGCUGGCGGCAUGCCUAACACAUGCAAGUCGAACGAGACCUUCGGGUCUAGUGGCGCACGGGUGCGUAACGCGUGGGAAUCUGCCCUUCGGUUGGGAAUAACUGAGAGAAAUUUCAGCUAAUACCUUAUAAUGUCUUCGGACCAAAGAUUUAUCGCCGAGGGAUGAGCCCGCGUAGGAUUAGGUAGUUGGUGGGGUAAUGGCCUACCAAGCCGACGAUCCUUAGCUGGUCUGAGAGGAUGAUCAGCCACACUGGGACUGAGACACGGCCCAGACUCCUACGGGAGGCAGCAGUGGGGAAUAUUGGACAAUGGGCGAAAGGCUGAUCCAGCAAUGCCGGGUGAGUGAUGAAGGCCUUAGGGUUGUAAAGCUCUUUUACCCGGGAUGAUAAUGACAGUACCGGGAGAAUAAGCUCCGGCUAACUCCGUG